UUCUUAUCAAGAGUGGUGGAGGGACUGGCCCGAUGAAACCCGGCAACCAAUAUAAUUUAUAUAUGGUGCUAAAUCCUGCAGUAAGUGACUGAUAGAUAAGGG
rfam:Clostridium taeniosporum strain 1/k, complete genome.